GCCAUGUUUCCUCUCGCCUUAUAUAUUUCACUCAGAAAUUCUAUUUGCAUCCUUUUAAUUAAAAUCUUUUUUUUUUAAUAUACAUUCCCCUUCCUCAACAAUGUGACUUCUUACCGUUUGCCGACUUCCAAAUGACCUACUCUCAAUUUUCCGACUUUCGAGUUUCUUAUCCUUUCAACUGGUGUUACAAGUUCAGGUAUGUCUUUGCCUAAAUCUUUUGUUUCUUUUUCCAUUUCGUCUUUUGCUACUUUUAUUACUUUAUUUUCUUAAAAAAACUCCAUGCCAAGUAAUAAAUAUCCCUUCAAACUCCAACAACUUAGUGGUAAUACUUGAGUUCUUGAACUAAUCGGCAACUCAUUAGUAAGUUUAUUAAAGCUAUAUUCAGCUAUACGCCAGCAUUUCAUGUCAC
rnacentral:lncRNA from 1 species